CCCAGCCCGGUGCCGCGGCUCGGCGCGGCCCCCCAGCCAGCGCCCCCACCCGGAGCCGAUUACCUGCAAUGAUGAAAUGAAGUAACUCAAGAUGAGCAAGUUAAAAGUGGUAUCAGAGAAAAGCCUUACCAAUAAUUCUUGGAUUGUGGGACUCCUGUCUCAGCUGGAGAAGAUAAACACUGAAUCAGCAGAAUCGGAUACUGCCAGAUAUGUCACAUCAAAGAUUCUUCAUCUUGCUCAAAGUCAAGGAACACCUAGAUGAAUGCCACCCCUACAUAAGAAUUUGGAUAGCACUGUACGAAAGAUGUGUUGAAGCUGGUUUUGGUCAGGAAACAUGAAAACUGUUAAUAGCUCCUGAGACCAAGAACCCAGAACUCUUCAGAAGACAAGCGUGAAAAGUUAUAUUCUUUCCUUUUGGAGUUCCUUCAGGCAGGAAAGUGUAAUCAAUAGCUCAAUAAAUUAUCCUGUGACAAUUGAAGAGUAUCUAAAGUUGAGAAAGUUGGAUGAGCAAGAUUAAUUUCCUUCGCAUUGUUGUUAGCAAAACCUCCCACCCACUAUGAAGCUUCCAUCACAAUCAAGAGGGGUUACUUGCUGCCACCUCCUUUUGGACACUACACUUAAUAGAUGGUCCAUGAGUGACAAACUUUUUUACUGCCUCAUCUGGUAUUUCUCUGAAUGGAAGAAUAUGAGUUCAAGGUGGAGAGUCACAGAGAGGCAGAGGCAGAGAGAGAGAAGUCUUCACUCCCCAAAUGGCCACAAUGGCCAGAGCUGUGUCAAUCUGAAGCCAGGAACCAGGAGAUUCUUCCAGGUCUCCCACAUGCAUGCAGAGGCCCAAGGACUUCAAGGCUCAUUCUUGUGGUAGCAUUCAUCAAUGUUCCCUUUUUAUGGCUGAAUUAUGGGUCAUUAUUAGACUCUAUCAAAUUAAAUGUACAACAGGCCCGCUAUUUCAGACCAUAGCAAAUUGCUGGGGAAAAGCAGAACUCCUGAAAGAUUACCUGCAAUGAUGAAAUGAAGUAACUCAAGAUGAGCAAGUUAAAAGUGGUAUCAGAGAAAAGCUUUACCAAUAAUUCUCAGAUUGCGGGACUCCUGGCUCAACUGGAGAAGAUAAACAGUGAAUCAGCAUAAUCAGAUACUGCCAGAUAUGUCACAUCAAAGAUUCCUCAUCUUGCUCAAAGUCAAGGUGACUCCAAAAUUGAAAGCCACUGCUCUAAAGCAGAGAAUGCCAAGCUUAUUAAGUGAAGGGCCAGAUAGCAUUUGUGUUGGGUUUUGUGGGCCAUAUAGCCUUUGUCACAUUUACUGCACUCUACCCUGUAGCACAGAAACAGCCAUAGAUGACCAUAAAUGGACAGGUAUGGCUGUGUUGCUAUAGACUUUAUUAAUGGACACUGAAAAAAAUAUCAUGUGGAACAUAAUGGUUCAUUGGUGGAAGUAUAUGAAUUGUCCUGGAGGCCUACAUGUAAUAUAUUGAAUAAAAAGCAAGUCCCUUUGGUUCAUGUAACUCUGUAUGUAUAGUCUUGUUUUUGUACAGAAUCAGUAAUUAUAUGUGAUGUUUGCAGGAACAUGCCGUGCCCACACACAUAAAGGAAAGCUACCUUACACCUUGUUGGCAAUAUUGUUGCCUCUCCUUUCCUACAUGUGUAACUCUGAGUUUCAAAUAAAUGAAUAAAUAAAUCUUAAAAAAAAGGACUUGAGGCGGCAAGAUGGCGGAAUAGGCAGGGAGCACACUUAGUCCGGGGGGAGAGAAAGUUUAAUAUAAGUGGAGAUACUGCAGGGUCAAGGAAGAGUAGGGGAUGAAACAGCAGAGGAAACUCUUCCGGAACUAGUGAUUCACAGUGGACCUGCGUGGAGAGCGUGGGAGCCCAAGUUCGGGACACCAGUGGCAGACUCAACGAACCAGCACUGGAACGCGAGGUGAGCCGAACCUCCAUAGCUGGAGACACCAGCAGGCAAGUGGAAAGAGGAGGCUAGAGGGAACGAGGCUUGAAACUCCGUGGGGAAAAGUUCACCAGGCUAACUAGAAGAGAGAGAAAAAAAAUAAAAAAAGUGACUGAUACGGACACAAGUUUCUCUCUCUCCGCUCACCUCUCAAAGGCGAGCAAGACAGAGCAG